rnacentral:rRNA from 1 species
AACGUAGGACACAAGCGUUAUCCGGAGUUACUGGGCGUAAAGGGCUCGUAGGCGGCCAACUAAGUCCGACGUGAAAUCCCAAGGCUUAACCUUGGAACUGCGUCGGAUACUGGAUGGCUUGAAUUCGGGAGAGGGAUGCAGAAUUCCAGGUGUAGCGGUGAAAUGCGUAGAUAUCUGGAGGAAUACCGGUGGCGAAGGCGGCAUCCUGGACCGACAUUGACGCUGAUGAGCGAAAGCUAGGGGAGCAAACGGG